CAAUAGCGUAUAUUAAAGUUGUUGCAGUUAAAAAGCUCGUAGUUGGAUUUCUGGGAGAGUGGCGAUGUCCGCUUAACGUGUGUGCAGCGACGCUCUUCCAUCCUUCUGUUAGCGUCUCUUGGCAUUCAUUUGCUGGUGUCGGGCUCAGAUAUUUUACCUUGAGAAAAUUAGAGUGUUUCAGGCAGGCUAGGCCGGAAUACAUUAGCAUGGAAUAAUGGAAUAGGACUACGGUCUCUUUGUUGGUUUGAGGGACUGCAGUAAUGAUUAAUAGGGAUAGUUGGGGGCAUUAGUAUUUAAUUGUCAGAGGUGAAAUUCUUGGAUUUAUGAAAGACUAACUACUGCGAAAGCAUUUGCCAAGGAUGUUUUCAUUAAUCAAGAACGAAAGUUAGGGGAUCGAAGAUGAUCAGAUACCGU
rnacentral:rRNA from 1 species